rnacentral:rRNA from 1 species
GAUGAACGCUGGCGGCGUGCCUAAUACAUGCAAGUCGAGCGAAUGGAUUAAGAGCUUGCUCUUAUGAAGUUAGCGGCGGACGGGUGAGUAACACGUGGGUAACCUGCCCAUAAGACUGGGAUAACUCCGGGAAACCGGGGCUAAUACCGGAUAACAUUUUGAACCGCAUGGUUCGAAAUUGAAAGGCGGCUUCGGCUGUCACUUAUGGAUGGACCCGCGUCGCAUUAGCUAGUUGGUGAGGUAACGGCUCACCAAGGCAAGGAUGCGUAGCCGACCUGAGAGGGUGAUCGGCCACACGGGGACUGAGACACGGCCCAGACUCCUACGGGAGGCAGCAGUAGGGAAUCUUCCGCAAUGGACGAAAGUCUGACGGAGCAACGCCGCGUGAGUGAUGAAGGCUUUCGGGUCGUAAAACUCCGUUGUUAGGGAAGAACAAGUGCUAGUUGAAUAAGCUGGCACCUUGAUGGUACCUAACCAGAAAGCCACGGCUAACUACGUGCCAGCAGCCGCCGUAA